rnacentral:rRNA from 1 species
AUUCCAGCUCCAAUAGCGUAUAUUAAAGUUGUUGCAGUUAAAAAGCUCGUAGUUGGAUUUCUGGCAGAGUGUCCUCCGUCCAGCAGUUCGUUUGGUUCGGAGCGCUCUACCAUCCUUCUGUUAACCUUUCCGGGAUUUACUUUUCGGACUGGGGCUCAGAUAUUUUACCUUGAGAAAAUUAGAGUGUUUCAGGCAGGCUAUUCGCCGGAAUACAUUAGCAUGGAAUAAUGGAAAAGGACUGCAACCUCUUCUGUUGGUCUGGGAGGCUGAAGUAAUGAUUAAUAGGGAUAGUUGGGGGCAUUAGUACUUUCCAGUCAGAGGUGAAAUUCUCCAAUUUGGUAAAGACUAACUUAUGCGAAAGCAUUUGCCAAGGAUGUUUUCAUCA